rnacentral:rRNA from 1 species
UCCUAAUGCAGAAAUCACAUUAAUAAUAUCAGCCUCUCCUGGCUGAUCUCGGAAGAUAAGCAAGGUCGAGCCUGGUUAGUACUUGGAUGGGAGAUCACCUAGGAAGACCAGGUGCUGUAGGCA